AGAAGUAAUUGCUGUUUUUGCCAUUACUUUUAAAGACAAAAACUGCAGUGACUUCUGU
ensembl:miRNA